UUAACCCUGCGUUGUGCGUUGAGGGUCAAGUUAUACUGAACCAACACAGUAUAUACGGGAGCUUGCCUUCUAAAAUGCCUUUGGGCUUUUUAGAGAAGCACCCACUUGACAAAUACGGUUCAUGUUACCUAACCCCAACGGCAAUCGCGGGGUUUUA
rnacentral:other from 1 species